UGAACGCUGGCGGUAGGCCUAACACAUGCAAGUCGAACGGCAGCACAGUAAGAGCUUGCUCUUACGGGUGGCGAGUGGCGGACGGGUGAGGAAUACAUCGGAAUCUACUUUUUCGUGGGGGAUAGCGUAGGGAAACUUACGCUAAUACCGCAUACGACCUACGGGUGAAAGCAGGGGAUCUUCGGACCUUGCGCGAUUGAAUGAGCCGAUGUCGGAUUAGCUAGUUGGCGGGGUAAAGGCCCACCAAGGCGACGAUCCGUAGCUGGUCUGAGAGGAUGAUCAGCCACACUGGAACUGAGACACGGUCCAGACUCCUACGGGAGGCAGCAGUGGGGAAUAUUGGACAAUGGGCGCAAGCCUGAUCCAGCCAUACCGCGUGGGUGAAGAAGGCCUUCGGGUUGUAAAGCCCUUUUGUUGGGAAAGAAAAGCAGCAGGUUAAUACCCCGCUGUUCUGACGGUACCCAAAGAAUAAGCACCGGCCAACUUCGUG
rnacentral:rRNA from 1 species